CUUUUUUUGUUUUUGUUUUUGUUUGUUUGUUUGUGUGUGAUGCAGGGAGUGAGCGCUGUCAGCGGCUGAGGGAUGGGUAAUGCGUCGUACGGCUGCUCCUUACUGCUGCGCUUCUGUGUAGACCAGAGAGGUGUUUAAUAAAGGUAAUAGGAAAUGGCACUGACCCCUCCUGAUCCCUCCCGAUUAUCUUCGUGAAGCGUGAACGUGCUGCAGAAUCACACAUCAGGAGACGACUUGUAAUUAUUUCUGCGAUGCCAUCAGCACGGAUCAAUCACUCAGGGAGGCUGCUAGUGGAACGCCGCUCGCAGCCAUGCAUGGAGCCAGCAGCGGCCCCCGUUUGACUGACAGCUUUGGUGAUUAAGCGAUUGUAUAGACCCCACCGACUGUUAUAACAACCUUGUCAGGGCCAGCCCGUGUUUGGAGCGCGCUCGAAUCAAUGUGUUCUCCACUUCCUGUGCAUCUCUGAUCCUGCUCCUCUGACAGCAGGAGGAGGGAAGCUCAACAUUUGGGAUUCUUUGAAUAUUUUGUUGUGGCGGUAAAUAGUUAAAAAUAUGCUAAGGUGCUUAUUUUUAGCAGCCCAGAAAUGAUACAACCUAAUGCAUGUGUUUCAUUCCCUCCAUGAAUGUAGCAUGCAUCAGUAUCUCAUGUGGAAACGUGCACAUACUGAAAAAGAGAGUAGAGCUCCAACUUUAAAAAGAUUCACUUAAUUUGUUACAUGUAUUUGAAUAAAGUUUGUCAAAUUUA